rnacentral:rRNA from 1 species
GACCUGGCCGGGUGGUCCGCCUUUCUGGUGAGUACUGUCUGGCUGGGCCUUACCUCUUGGUGAACCGGCGUGCCCUUUAUUGGUGUGCGUCGGGGAACUAGGACGAUUACCUUGAGAAAAUUAGAGUGUUCAAAGCAGGCAAUCGAGCCUUGAAUACUUCAGCAUGGGAUAAUGGAACAG